rnacentral:rRNA from 1 species
GACGAACCGUGCGAACGUUGUUCGGAAUCAUUGGGCGUAAAGGGCGCGCAGGCGGCCCGGAAAGUCGGAUGUGAAAACUCGGGGCUCAACCCCGAGCGUGCACCCGAUACUGCCGGGCUUGAGGCAGGUAGGGGAGAUCGGAAUUCCUGGUGUAGCGGUGAAAUGCGCAGAUAUCAGGAGGAACACCGGUGGCGAAGGCGGAUCUCUGGGCCUGUCCUGACGCUGAGGCGCGAAAGCUAGGGGAGCGAACAGG